rnacentral:rRNA from 1 species
CAAGGUUUCCAGGGGAAGGUUCGUCCGCCCUGGGUUAGUCGGGACCUAAGCUGAGGCCGAAAGGCGUAGGUGAUGGACAACAGGUUGAUAUUCCUGUACUACCGAUAACCGUUUGAGAGAAGGGAUGACACAGUAGGAUAAGCUAAGCACACUGUUGGUUAUGUGUGCCCAAGCAUUGAGGCAGUCAAAGUAGGCAAAUCCGCUUUGAUAAUGCUGGGAUGUGAUGGGGAGCGAAAUUUAGUAGCGAAGUAGCUGAUUUCACACUGUCAAGAAAAGUCUCUAUCGAGGUUAAAGGUACCCGUACCGCAAACCGACACAGGUGGGUGAGGAGAGUAUCCUAAGGCCAGCGAGAGAACUGUUGUUAAGGAACUCGGCAAAAUGACCCCGUAACUUAGGGAUAAGGGGUGCCACCAUCAGGUGGCCGCAGAGAAUAGGCCCAAGCGACUGUUUACCAAAAACAUAGGUUUCUGCUAAGUCGCAAGACGAUGUAUAGGAGCUGACGCCUGCCCGGUGCUGGAAGGUUAAGGGGAUCUGUUAGAGCAAUCGAAGCAGUGAACUUAAGCCCCAGUAAACGGCGGCCGUAACUAUAACGGUCCUAAGGUAGCGAAAUUCCUUGUCGGGUAAGUUCCGACCCGCACGAAAGGCGUAACGAUUUGGGCACUGUCUCAACAACAGACUCGGUGAAAUUGUAAUUCCGGUGAAGAUGCCGGAUACCUGCGACAGGACGGAAAGACCCCAUGGAGCUUUACUGUAGCUUGACAUUGGGUCUUGGUACUACAUGUACAGGAUAGGUGGGAGGCUUUGAAACCAGGACGCCAGUUUUGGCGGAGCCAUCCUUGGGAUACCACCCUUGUAGUACUGGGACUCUAACCAUAGGCCAUGAAUCUGGUCUUGGGACACUGUCAGGUGGGCAGUUUGACUGGGGCGGUCGCCUCCCAAAAGGUAACGGAGGCGCUCAAAGGUUCUCUCAGUACGGUCGGAAAUCGUACGUAGAGUGUAAAGGCAAAAGAGAGCUUGAUUGCAAGACAUACAGGUCGAGCAAGGAUGAAAAUCGGACUUAGUGAUCCGGUGGUUCUGCGUGGAAGGGCCAUCGCUCAACGGAUAAAAGCUACCCUGGGGAUAACAGGCUUAUCUCCCCCAAGAGUCCACAUCGACGGGGAGGUUUGGCACCUCGAUGUCGGCUCAUCACAUCCUGGGGCUGUAGUAGGUCCCAAGGGUUGGGCUGUUCGCCCAUUAAAGUGGUACGCGAGCUGGGUUCAGAACGUCGUGAGACAGUUCGGUCCCUAUCCGUCGCAGGCGUAGGAAAUUUGAGAAGACCUGUCCUUAGUACGAGAGGACCGGGAUGGACG